rnacentral:rRNA from 1 species
CGCUUAGCCGUAAAAUAUUAUUUACAUUAAAAACGCCAAAGCAACUACGAGCGCAAGCUUAAAACUUAAAGGACUUGACGGUGUCCCAUCUACCUAGAGGAGCCUGUUCUAUAAUCGAUAAUCCUCGUUAUAUCUCACCUUUUUUAGCUUAUCAGUCUGUAUACUNCCGUCGUAAGCUUACCAUAUGAAUGUAUUAGUAAGUUAAAUAGUAAUAACAAUUACCAAAACGUCAGGUCAAAGUGCAGCCAACAAAAAGGGAAGAAAUGGGCUACAAUUUCUACUUAAGAACAUACGAAUUUAAGUAACUGAAAACUACUAUGANGGCGGAUUUAGAAGUAAAAUGAAAAUAAAGUGUUCAUUUUAACAAUGCUCUGGGACGUGUACACACCGCCCGUCAUCCUCUUCAAUUCUAUUAAAAAUUUACAUAAAAAAUAAACCUGUAACACGAGGAGGCAAGUCGCAACACGGUAAGUAUACUGGAAAGUGUACUUGGACAUCAA